rnacentral:rRNA from 1 species
GAUUGGGGUCUGCAACUCGACCCCAUGAAGUCGGAGUCGCUAGUAAUCGCAGAUCAGCAACGCUGCGGUGAAUACGUUCCCGGGCCUUGUACACACCGCCCGUCACGUCACGAAAGUCGGUAACACCCGAAGCCGGUGGCCCAACCCUUGGGAGGGAGCCGUCGAAGGUGGGACUGGCGAUUGGGACGAAGUCGUAACAAGGUAGCCGUACCGGAAGGUGCGGCUGGAUCACCUCCUUUCUAAGGAG